rnacentral:lncRNA from 1 species
UCACCUUGAGCAUGGAAUUUGGGAAUAUUGUCAUAAUUACAAUCGAUCACAGUAUACCUUCAGAAGAGGCUUUUAUUAUAUUCGAAAUUGAAGCAACUUACUUGUCGAUUCAUCGAGUGAAAUAAAAACCUGUUUCAGGUAAUACAAAACCGUAGCCUUCAGCGCAUACCACAACGCACCGAAUCCCUUCCUGCAGAACGGAGCAAUCGCUGUGCCCAUUUGUUGGAGAUGGAACGUUUUCACAUACAUCUAAAUUGGAAUUCGCGCAAAAAUGGUGUGUGACUUUUACUAAUCUCCAGAGGAUGUCCAGAGUUGUCAUAAAAUACAGGCUCGUCCCAAGUAAUAUUUAUUGCCAUCGACUUGU